CGCGGCGGGAGGUCACCGGCGUGGUUCCCGGGACCUCGAGGUCCGCGCGCCCCCCGCCCGCCCCGCCCCCGGCCCUCUCCAACUGCGCCGACCCAGGACAAAGCUGUCACGCCCCAGCCGACCUCUCCAGGACACCUGGCCGUACAAGGAAGGGGUCGUCCGAGCUGACCCCAGACUCCCGGCAUCCCGGGACUGGCGAAGCUUCUGUACCCCGCAACCCAAGCAAGGGCCCGAGCCGGCGCAGACUCGGCCCCGCAGAGACCACCCCACGGAGCUCUUACGGAGCCCCCACCGAUCUCCGACGGAACCGCCAUUGAGACCUCGAGGAGCCCCCUCUGAGACCCUAAGGAGCCCCAAUGAAAUCCCACAAAUUCCUCACCAAGACCCCACGAAGGACCCACGGAAGACCCUCAAGAAGGACCCAUGAGCCCCCACUAAGACCCACGGAAGCCCGUCGCCACCCAGCCUGUGAAGGCCCAGCUGCAGGCCGGUCUGCCCAGCCCUGCGCAGUGACCAAGCACGGUGACUCAGCGCUCAGAACCCAGAGCUCCUUGGAAAAAUAAGUCGGCCAUCCAAGGCCACCAAGCCUCUGGAGAUGUCGAGCAUUGAAUGUAUAGUUUCACUUCCCAAACCACCCUGUGGCCUUAGGCAAAUGACCUAACUUCUCCCAACCCCGGUUUCUAGGUUCUGCUUUCUGCAAAGCCAGUAAACCCUCCUGACCCAGCCAUAGGCAGGCUGUCAGUCCUGACAGCCCGUGAUGUCAAGCUCCCUGAAAAUCACAAAGUGAUGGAGAGACAGCAGCCACUAACAUUUCCGGGAGUUCUUCCCUCUCAAGCAGCCCCUUUAGUCUUCCCAGGACCCUGGAAAAGGAGGUUGGACAUGUUUGCACUGGGGUGUAACUGGUGAUAAAUAUCCAAGUGGACUUGAGAGAACUUGGAAUGCAAUGCCGCCUGCUUCCUGCUCCCGUGGGACCCACGUGACUCUCAUCCCAGAGGAGACACCUGUGCCUCCAACCCGGUGGCUUGCCUCCUCGUCCCUCAGGAUGUAACGACAACGACAAGUUUACUGUGUGAGGUCCCAGGCCGAGCGCCAACGCUGAAUGGUUCAUUCAGACCUCACAUUGUCUGGCACAUUUUCAAGCAUUCUUCCCCGUGUUUUGUAGACAAGAAAACCAAGGCUCCCUGAGGGCCAGGUUAAGUAACUUGUCCAGCUGCUCACCACGGCGCAAAGAUGAAGCUGAGUUUUGAAAUACCACAUCAUGCGGUAUUUAGAGAAGAAGAUUGAAAUGGACUUUUCAGAAGAGGUGGGGAGGGACAAUUUUGACAUUAUCUUUUUUCUCCUGAUCAUAUAAGCAAUGCAUGCUCAUUGUUUGUUUAAUUAAGAAAAAGUCAGAGUUUGAAAAGACAUUAGCAGAGGAGUGGUGGUGAGGUUUCCCCUCGUCUGCCGGUUUCUUUCUAAGAACUAAGGGAAAUGACUGAGCCCUCAGAGGGGAGGGAGGGAGGAGAGAAUGUCCUGGCAUUAAAUCUGAGCGGAGAGCAUCGUAACCCUGCAGGGGAGGUGUUCCAUCCACGUGCCGUGCUUCCAGACAACCUUGCAAAGCAUCGGAACCCGUGUUCAUGAUCGGUGGCAGUGGGUCCGAAACAAGCCUGAUUCUCUGGAUUUCUGCAUUUCGGGUGGCCAGGCUCUCUGCGCAGCUGUGACAGUGACCCUUCCCCUGACUCAGCUCUAGUUGGACUCCUCUAAGCCUCAAGGCCCCACACUCAGGCUCUGUCUUCCCACAUUUAGCCCAGUUUUAGCGGAAAUCCCCCACCCUCGAUAUUGUCACCUCGGCCUCACUUUAGCAAGAAUCCCGUGGAGUUGGUCUAGCAAGAACGCCCCCAGUCUUGUGUUUCCUCCUAGUAACUUCCCAUCCACCACCACCCAAUACACACCCUACUCCUUGGCUCUGAAUCCCCACUUGUCCUUAUUGUGUUCAGAGCUGAGCCUCUCAGUCUCUCCCCGCUACUGCAAAACCCCAGUGCUGUGGCCCCUACGCUUGUCAGGAUGGCCCCUGAAUAAAAUCUGCCUUACGGUUCUUUAA
rnacentral:lncRNA from 1 species